rnacentral:rRNA from 1 species
GACGAACGCUGGCGGCGUGCCUAAUACAUGCAAGUAGAACGCUGAAGGAGGAGCUUGCUUCUCUGGAUGAGUUGCGAACGGGUGAGUAACGCGUAGGUAACCUGCCUGGUAGCGGGGGAUAACUAUUGGAAACGAUAGCUAAUACCGCAUAAAAUUGAUUAUCGCAUGAUAAUCCAUUGAAAGGUGCAAAUGCAUCACUACCAGAUGGACCUGCGUUGUAUUAGCUAGUUGGUGGGGUAACGGCUCACCAAGGCGACGAUACAUAGCCGACCUGAGAGGGUGAUCGGCCACACUGGGACUGAGACACGGCCCAGACUCCUACGGGAGGCAGCAGUAGGGAAUCUUCGGCAAUGGACGGAAGUCUGACCGAGCAACGCCGCGUGAGUGAAGAAGGUUUUCGGAUCGUAAAGCUCUGUUGUAAGAGAAGAACGAGUGUGAGAGUGGAAAGUUCACA